AAUACAUGCAGUCGAGCGAACUGAUUAGAAGCUUGCUUCUAUGACGUUAGCGGCGGACGGGUGAGUAACACGUGGGCAACCUGCCUGUAAGACUGGGAUAACUUCGGGAAACCGAAGCUAAUACCGGAUAGGAUCUUCUCCUUCAUGGGAGAUGAUUGAAAGAUGGUUUCGGCUAUCACUUACAGAUGGGCCCGCGGUGCAUUAGCUAGUUGGUGAGGUAACGGCUCACCAAGGCAACGAUGCAUAGCCGACCUGAGAGGGUGAUCGGCCACACUGGGACUGANACACGGCCCAAACUCCUACGGGAGGCAGCAGUAGGGAAUCUUCCGCAAUGGACGAAAGUCUGACGGAGCAACGCCGCGUGAGUGAUGAAGGCUUUCGGGUCGUAAAACUCUGUUGUUAGGGAAGAACAAGUACGAGAGUAACUGCUCGUACCUUGACGGUACCUAACCAGAAAGCCACGGCUAACUACGUGCCAGCAGCCGCGGUAAUACGUAGGUGGCAAGCGUUAUCCGGAAUUAUUGGGCGUAAAGCGCGCGCAGGCGGUUUCUUAAGUCUGAUGUGAAAGCCCACGGCUCAACCGUGGAGGGUCAUUGGAAACUGGGGAACUUGAGUGCAGAAGAAAAAAGCGGAAUUCCACGUGUAGCGGUGAAAUGCGUAGAGAUUGUGGAGGAACACCAGUGGCGAAGGNGGCUUUUUGGUCUGUAACUGACUCUGAUNUGCGAAAGCGUGGGGAGCAAA
rnacentral:rRNA from 2 species